rnacentral:lncRNA from 1 species
AAAGUUCAGAAUGUGACAACUCCAAAAAAGAAGCACGAUGCAACCCCAUCAAGAAGAAGACCUGGAAGCCUGAAAAAAGGGGUGUUUAAAAAAAAAAAAAAAAAGACAGGACCACCGUUGCAGGACCAAGUAAAGAAUGCACUUGGUUUCCUGGGAGCACUGCCUCAGAUGUUGCCUUCGCAAGUAGCUCUGCUGAAAAAGUUACGACACCCACUCAACAGAGGAUCCCAAUACUUGUCUUCAAUCAAGACCCUUUGUCAGCCCUGUGGUGAUUGUCUGAGACAAACUACAUCCUGACUUUCGGAACUGUUUCUCUGCUUACUUUGACCAAAGAAGACCUCAGUGAAAGUGUGAUAUAUGUCCUUGGCUGUUGUUACACCUUUCACCUCACGUCUGUGCUACAAACAGAGGGUUUGUUAGAUGCCAUCCAUGAGAAAGACAUGACGACUUCAUACAAAAAGCUAUGGCUGAAUGGAGAAAGUGUAAUGAUUAAGUCAGUUCAAACAUAAUUUUUAGUUUAAGUAGUGGUUCAUGUUCCAUGAUGUUGAUUAAACAAAUGUCGUAUAUGAAAGAUUGGCUAUCGGUUCCUUCUUGCACUCUGAUUGGUCUUGAUAUUUUUUAGACUUUGUGUGCUUUUGCACAAUAAAAGUGUUGAAAGAUAUCUUUUUUUGUAAACU